CAAUAAAUUGUCCUCGUUGUAUGGGUCCAUCUUGGGCCAAGAGACUGGAGAAGCUCUGGGUGGUGAAUGAGCAGCCAGUGAAACACUUGUAUUAUUUUGGUAGAAAACCCCAGAAGAGGAGCUGCAGCCAAAAAACCCUCCUGCUGAGGCUUCAGCACUGGAAAAUCCUCUGAGCCUUUUGAUGAUCCAGCCAGUCUCCCAGCCUCUCGUGAGUUCAGCCAUGAAGAAGGGGUCUGGGGAGCACGAGGAGGCCUGGAUAGACAGGUUCAGGAAGCUGGAAAACGCUCUCUACCUGUGUGAUCUGAGCAACACAGGAAAUCUGGAGAAAGAACGAGCCAGACGCCUCAUUCACAACUACAGUCUCAUUUACAACCUGUCCCUGAGCUCUCAGAAAAUCGACCAGGCUUUUCGAAGAUUCCGUUCUGGAGGAAAUCUGCUGUUGGAGCCAGCACUGCAGUGCUUGAAGGAGCUAUGAUACCAGCCCCUGUGGUGAGAACAGAUGUUUCUCUGCUCUCCCUGCUUUCCCAGAUGCAUGUUUCUCCCAGUCUGAGCAUGGUGAUGGAGGCCUGGAAGUUGAGACGAUGCAGCUGUCCUGGAUGCUUCUGAGGCAGACUGGGACUUUUUCUAUGGUCUCACUUAUGACCCUUCAAAAUGCAAGAGAAAUCAGGUUUUCUUCUCUGAUGUGGCAAGAACCCAAUUACUUAAAGUCUUCUUCUUUUCUAAU
rnacentral:lncRNA from 1 species